rnacentral:rRNA from 1 species
GCCAUAUCAAUAAGCGGAGGAAAAGAAACCAACAGGGAUUGCCUUAGUAACGGCGAGUGAAGCGGCAAAAGCUCAAAUUUGAAAUCUGGCGCCUUCGGUGUCCGAGUUGUAAUUUGAAGAAGGCUACUUUGGAGUUGGCUCUUGUCUAUGUUCCUUGGAACAGGACGUCACAGAGGGUGAGAAUCCCGUGCGAUGAGAUGCCCAAUUCUUUGUAAAGUGCUUUCGAAGAGUCGAGUUGUUUGGGAAU